UACGUAGGGUGCGAGCGUUGUCCGGAAUUAUUGGGCGUAAAGGGCUCGUAGGCGGUUUGUCGCGUCGGGAGUGAAAUCCACUGGACUUAACUGGUGGCUUGCUUUCGAUACGGGCAGACUGGAGGUAUGCAGGGGAGAACGGAAUUCCUGGUGUAGCGGUGAAAUGCGCAGAUAUCAGGAGGAACACCGGUGGCGAAGGCGGUUCUCUGGGCAUGUCCUGACGUGAGGAGCGAAAGUGUGGGGAGCGAACAGG
rnacentral:rRNA from 1 species